GAGAGCCGCUGUGCCGUGCAAAACGGCACGCACGGUUCGGAGAAGAGAAUGGUUAAACGGAGCACUCACGCCACCGCGAACUGUUCUUAUUCUAC
rnacentral:ncRNA from 1 species